GCGGCGGACGGGUGAGUAAUGCCUAGGAAUCUGCCUGGUAGUGGGGGACAACGUUUCGAAAGGAACGCUAAUACCGCAUACGUCCUACGGGAGAAAGCAGGGGACCUUCGGGCCUUGCGCUAUCAGAUGAGCCUAGGUCGGAUUAGCUAGUUGGUGAGGUAAUGGCUCACCAAGGCGACGAUCCGUAACUGGUCUGAGAGGAUGAUCAGUCACACUGGAACUGAGACACGGUCCAGACUCCUACGGGAGGCAGCAGUGGGGAAUAUUGGACAAUGGGCGAAAGCCUGAUCCAGCCAUGCCGCGUGUGUGAAGAAGGUCUUCGGAUUGUAAAGCACUUUAAGUUGGGAGGAAGGGCAGUAAAUUAAUACUUUGCUGUUUUGACGUUACCGACAGAAUAAGCACCGGCUAACUCUGUGCCAGCAGCCGCGGUAAUACAGAGGGUGCAAGCGUUAAUCGGAAUUACUGGGCGUAAAGCGCGCGUAGGUGGUUCGUUAAGUUGAAUGUGAAAUCCCCGGGCUCAACCUGGGAACUGCAUCCAAAACUGGCGAGCUAGAGUAUGGUAGAGGGUGGUGGAAUUUCCUGUGUAGCGGUGAAAUGCGUAGAUAUAGGAAGGAACACCAGUGGCGAA
rnacentral:rRNA from 1 species